rnacentral:lncRNA from 1 species
GACUUCCCAUUUCUCCUUUGGGCUCCAGGGUGCACUGGGAUAAUUCAAGCCCCUCCUCCCUUUAGCAAGUAGACUAAAGUUUAUUUCUCUAGAAAAGAGUGUCAAGCUGCAGGGAGCAGUAACAGCAUCCUGGUCAUGGAAGUGACAGUCAUUGACCUGCCCCCCUUUUAUGUACUGCCACCCUGCUGGGCGCAAAAGCACAUGCAAUUCCAUUAGCUGAUAUCCUCCACUCUUGGAAGGUAGUCUGUUAUAUAAAAUGGGCCAAUAGAACUGACUUCGGCUUUUGUUCUUUGCUAAUUAUUCUAGACUUUAAUUUCUUAGGUGGCUUACACCCUCCUGAGCAGGAAGAAGAACCCCUAACAAGAUGGGGUGACCUGCUAUAGCCACACAGGACCUCUGAGAUGGGUGUGACCUGCCAAGAUGCCAAUUGACCUGCUGACUACAAGACAUAGAUGUCUUUAAAAGUUUACACAACCCCCUCCCAAUUAUUUGGAGAUAUCUUCUUCAUUCAUUCUGGUGCCCAGAGUCACCAGAGAGGAUCCUUGUCCUGAAGGAGUAGGGGAGAAGAAUCACUCAAUUACCAUAGUACAAGUCAAGACAGAAUACAAAAUAGAAGCCAGUGGGAAUUCAGAAGAUGGGUAAAUCUCUGGAUUUAGAAACGACAAAGAAGGAAUGAAAAUGUCCAGAGCCAUCCAUGGGCUGUAUGUGGACUACUAUAUUGGCAUUGCAGCCAGUGAGUGGGUAGGUCUGGCAUUGGGAACUUUCUGUGGCACCCCCACAGGGAUAGACUGCCUGAUGCAGGUGAACUUCCCCCUCAGCUCUGCCAAAGGUCUCACACAGCACUGGAGAUGGGGUGACCUGAUGUAGCCACACAGGACCUCUGAGAUGGGUGUGACCUGCCAAGAUGCCGACUGACCUGCUGACUGCAAGACAUCAUGAAGCAAGACUCCACCCCUGAAACCUUACCCCUGCCUUUGAUGUACCCCCU